UGAGUUGUUUGACCUAAAGUAACAUUUUGGUCUCUUAGGAUUUGUUAUAGUUAUCUACUUCCAUCCCCUCCAAAUAUGAACAUCUAUUCAAAAAUAAAGCUAUUGGGAUCUGAAAUCUUAGUAGGGGUCCUGAGACCUGGGUCCCCACUCUAAGGCCAGAUCUAUAGCAGGCCUUGCCUCCAUUGCUGCUGCUGUCUCAGUUCUUGGCAGUGCCUGCUGGGGGACCUACAGGUGGCAACCAAAGUAGGGCUAGGCAUAGGCUUCUGAGCACAACCUUGGAUCUGACA
rnacentral:snoRNA from 1 species